rnacentral:rRNA from 1 species
AUACGGAGGAUCCGAGCGUUAUCCGGAUUUAUUGGGUUUAAAGGGUGCGUAGGCGGCCUUUUAAGUCAGCGGUGAAAGUCUGUGGCUCAACCAUAGAAUUGCCGUUGAAACUGGGGGGCUUGAGUAUGUUUGAGGCAGGCGGAAUGCGUGGUGUAGCGGUGAAAUGCAUAGAUAUCACGCAGAACCCCGAUUGGGAAGGCAGCCUGCCAAGCCAUGACUGACGCUGAUGCACGAAAGCGUGGGGAUCAAACAGGAUUAGAUACCCUGGUAGUCCACGCAGUAAACGAUGAUCACUAGCUGUUUGCGAUACACUGUAAGCGGCACAGCGAAAGCGUUAAGUGAUCCACCUGGGGAGUACGCCGGCAACGGUGAAACUCAAAUGAAUUGACGGGG